rnacentral:rRNA from 1 species
AUACGGAGGGUGCAAGUGUUAUCCGGAAUCAUUGGGUUUAAAGGGUCCGUAGGCGGACUAUUAAGUCAGAGGUGAAAUCCCACAGCUCAACUGUGGAACUGCCUUUGAUACUGGUAGUCUUGAGUUAUAUGGAAGUAGAUAGAAUGUGUAGUGUAGCGGUGAAAUGCAUAGAUAUUACACAGAAUACCGAUUGCGAAGGCAGUCUACUACGUAUAUACUGACGCUAAGGGACGAAAGCGUGGGGAGCGAACAGGAUUAGAAACCCCAGUAGUCC